GUGCUGUAUGGCGUUGAGUGCGCGACAAGGGCUCCGGCGCCCGUUGUGUUCUCUGAGAGCUGAGCUGAGCCCCAGAGCUGAGGCCCAAGACUGUGGAGGUGCACGUGCUCCGAAGCGGGGCUACACUGUCAACUCAGGACGUACAAGCCCUGAACCGUGCUGCUGAGCAGCCCCAUUCAGAAGUCCCCCUUAGCAAGACCCUGUCACUGGAGAGCCGUCCAGACUGCAGAGCUCUGCUGCAAGGGGAGCAAGACUGCUUCCCGCUUUCUGUUACACCACCCCACCUAGUCUGCAGUGAUUUCUUUAAAACAAGGCACAACUCGGAGGUGUCACCAGGUGCCCCCUCACCACAUGCCACGCUCAGGCCCUGAAGGAGGCAUCCAUUCCAGUUCCAGGACAUCAAGGAAAACUUUGCAGAAGGGUCUUCUCCCAAGAAACACCCUUCCUGGGCAGCCUGGGUGCCCACAUGGUUGGAGGAUUCUCAGGUAUUCUUAAGAGCCUUUUUGAUGACAGCCAGCUUUACAC
rnacentral:lncRNA from 1 species